rnacentral:lncRNA from 1 species
CUUUUGAUUGUUAAUAUGUUCAGGAAUCUCUAUGGAAAUGUUUCAUAUAGGCCUAUCCUGAAACCUUUCUAUUUACAUAGUUAUAAUUGACAAAUGGUUCUCCAUAUUUUUAUGAGGAACCUCUCACAAGAAUGUUUCUUGUGUAUCUACAAAUAAGGCCUCCAGUCUCUAACCAGAAGGUAAAGUGGGGGUUCUUGUGUGUCCAUGUAGAGUACUUGCCAGGGAAAUGUUCCACUAGGAAGAACAAUCAUCAGCAAUAAGUUGCAUUUUUUAAAACUGUGAAAAUGUUAAUGUAAAUAAUGUUUGCAAAGAUUUCCUUAAAGAUAAUCACCUGAUAAAUCUUUUUACUUGAAAAUUCAAAAGUUAUAAAGUUGCUAGCAUAUAGACUCCUUAUUACAGGUUGAUUUUGAAAGGAUAAAUUGCCAAGGGAAGCAAAAUUUAAAGUAAGUGAACAUCUCAGGAGUAGAAUACAGGUUGACCCAAGUCAUUGCUCCAGAAUUGUCAUAGUCCGUUGUCUUGUUUUGCAGAUGAGAUAGACAUUGAAAUACAUAUCUGAUUGCACACAUCAUAAUUUACGAGUUAGAUUACUAUCACUAUCACAGCUAAAAUAGCCGUACUUCAUCACGACUCAUUCAGCAAACCUCAUGAUGUUUCCAUUCAUUGACAAUGUAGUAGUAUGUAUUUAUUUUAGUGCCUUAAUAUAUUUUUGAUGUAUUUGGCUAAUGGUAAAAUGAACUGUCUCUUGAAGAUAAAAUGCUGCUCACUGAAAGGAUCUGUUUAGUGAUUCACACUUGUUAUACGAUGGCUACUGGGAAUGCUUUCGUCGUGUUUUAUUUGGCCGAGUCCUACAGUUUGAGAAUCAGUGAUUGUCUGGUCUAGUGAUUAUUAGAUGUCUUUUCAUUAGCCAAUGUUGUUUUCAUUUCAUACUCAGAAAUGUGAAGAAGUGAUACUUUAGUGGCUGUCCAAUGGUUGUUAUUUAUUCUUUGCCCUAGCAUGGAGGCUUGUUUACAGUGUUCACUCCCUUGUACAUUUCUGCCACUUCAGUAAAAAGAUGCUCAUCACACUGGAUCCUCAGUAAGACGUGGCUUACUUAGUUUUAAAUUGUUUUGGCACAGACAAUCCAUACUCAUUAUAGAAAAUUAUAUCAUACAGAUAUCCUAAAGAUAACCUCAGUAUGAAUUGACUUGGGAUCUAGAUAGCUCUACUGCCAGGCACCAAAAAAAAAAAAAAAAAAGUAGAAUCAGUGUUUUUUUUUAAUGUACUCAGCUAUAUUAUCCCACCAUGAUAGAGUUUGAAAAUUUGCAUCUCCUUGAAAAGAAACUCCAUCUGGCUGGGCAGUAGCAGUGUAUGUAUGCCUUUAAUCCCGGAGCUUGGAGGUAAUGGUUCUCUGUAGUUGAAGGGCAGCCUGGUCUACAGACGGAGCUCCAGGACAGCCAGGGCUACGCUGAGAAGCCCUGCCUCUAAGAAAGGCAGCACUGCUACACCCAAUACGAUCGAUCAUGUCCUUAUUAUGUGCUUAUGGUUCAUCUAUAUGUCUUUAAAAUGAGAUUUUUUUUUGGUUAUUUGUAUAUCCC